rnacentral:rRNA from 1 species
UGGUAUUUUUAGCAUAGUGGAACCACUCUGAUCCAUUUCGAACUCAGUCGUGAAACGCUGUAGCGGCGAGGAUACUAUAAAGGAAGCUUUAUGGAAAAGUAGCUCAAUGCCAAGGCU